UGGGCUGGUCGCAAGACCCGGGUCCAUCAGCAGAUGGGGAGGUUCCCC
rnacentral:sRNA from 1 species